UGCGAGCUGUAUGAAGUUGCAUCUUCUACUCAAGUUGCCCGUGAAAUCUGUGCCUGAACCAAGGAGAGUAUUCGAGGGAGGAAGGACAGCUUUCUGUUUCAAAUGCUGUAAUAGAAAUGCAUUGAACUGGCUUCAGGAGCUGGCUCCGUGAAAGAUUCCCUGUGUGAGUUUGGCUGAAUCAUGGAGCUUGUGCCUCACCUGCCUGCAGAAGGGUAAAGGAAGCUCAGCAAGUGGGAGAUGACAAAGCCAAACCUUUGCCUGCAUUAGGGGAGCAGCAGAACUCCAAUAAUGACAUAAAUGAGUCAGUGUUCAUCUGGGGAAUCGCAGACAAAGCAGCCUCGAGGAAAAGCAUCUCUGUUUGAAGCAUUAGCAGACUGAGACCUGAAAACCUCAUGUAGGAAAAACGGCAUGCAGAAGAGGAACAGAACUUGCAUUUCCCUAAAUACUCACUGAAUGUGAAAUGUAGGCAUAUUCUUCCUUGUCUGCUCUCUAAAUGUGCAGGUUCUGAAGAAUGGCAUUUAAAAUCUUUCAUAGGGACAGAAAAUUCCCCGUUAUUUUGCCUUACAAGUGGCUACAGAUGUAUUGAUCACAUAGCCAGGUGUUCAUUAAUGGAAUAAAUAUUUAUAAGAGUUUGAAUGGCCAUUGAUCCAUGCAAUCAAAAGGUAUCUGCAGUCUUCAGGGAUGGCUGUCACUGACUGAUUGUUUCUGUUAGUAGGAUUCAUUAUAUUUUCACUGUUUCAGCAAUGAACAGUUCUAUGGAAAUAUGAUUUAAUUCGGGAAUGAGUGCAGCUAAACUACCCUAGUUCUGAACCUAGCAGCAUGGCCCAGCUGAGAGAAGUAAAGCUUGCCCUGUGCAUUUAUACACAAUUCAAAUGAAUGCCUUGGAACGUAUGUGAUGUCCUUGACUGUAAUUUCUUCUACGCUUCAAGCAAAAAGUGGUAUUGAUUCUUCUUUUUAAAAAGAGGACCUGGAAAUAUUGCCUUCAGAUCUGAUCAGGACUGUGGAAAACAAGAAAGUAAAUAAUGACCCUAGAGAAUGCAACCCUGGCAUUACAUGGAGUGUGCUGGAUGCAGGGGGUGAGGGUGGCUCACAAAUGAAUGUAAUGCCUAAGCCCUCAAGGAGAACUGGGCACCUGUUACCUCUAAGAACUUAGUCUUCAUGUUUUAGACCCUUCUGGGAAUUUUUAGCUAUGGUGGUUAAAAUGCAAGCGACUCCUGGAGAGCAAGCGCUGCGCUCACGUUCCUUAGUAGCGGAAGCGGCAACAGGAAAGGUUAAUGGGAAGAGUUUUCCCAGGCCACACCCACCCUAGGCUUGUAUAAGGACUGUUUUGACAAUCCGAUUUUUUUCAGCCCCAACCUGCCCUAUAUGGCAAGAGGAAAAGUUAGAUCAAUGCUUUGGACUAAUUAAAAUUGUGACAAUGGAUAGUAAAUAUCUGCUUUUCUCAAAUCAGGGUGUUUCUGAUGGCAAGACAGCUUGCCGUGUUCCCAGUGGAGGAGGGGAGAGGGGAAAUAUAUCUGUCUGCUCCUGCGAUCCCCAAGUUUUCAGUGUAUUGUCCAGGCUUGUACUUAUGUGGCUCCCACUGAUGUCAGUGCAGCAAAAACCCCACAGUACGUUCUGAAAAUGUCCCUGCAACAAUGAAGCUGUGCAUCUGAUCCUGCUGCAGAUCAUUUCUAAGAAAAUUCUGCAAAGACUUGUUGACUUGAGUUAAUCAUAAGUUUAGCAAUAAUGUUCAUUAUCUGGCAGCAUUCAUUACCUGUGUUGUAAUGGGGAGGGAAGUGGAGACUUACUAAUUGCAUUUAGUAGGAUGAGGAAUAAUUAACAUGGAACCAGCUGGAUGGGGUUUGCUUUGUAGUCAUGAAAAACGAACACAUUGAUAACCGCUGUGGAAUGGGAGUGAAUAGCCAUGCAUAAAAUGAUGCAUAUCUUCCCCUCCCUCCCCAUCCUUUUCUUCAGUAGUUUGCUUAUUUCUCUUGUUUUGCCUUAUGAAGAAAUGUCUAUAAGAUGGCUUUGUUUGUGCACUAGAAGUCCUGGAAAUUUUCUGGAGAGCAAGCACUGCUCUCCUCUUCAGUAGGUGAGACCAACCCUAACCGUAAUUUUCUGUGAUUCUAUUAAAUGGAUCAAUGUAUUGUCUGUGUUUCA